AAUAGGGGUCUCUUUUGGUAGAGAGGUUGAGGGCAGGUUUAGGGGGAUGAGCCCUGAGCUGGGCUCGUGACCAGCCUUGGUCCAGGUGGGCAGUGUCCCGACCCCGCUGACCCCGUUCCCGUUCACACCUGCAGUGAUCAUCCCUGAACUCGUGCUGCCCAACCGGGAGGUGGCUUCUGUCCGGGCCAGAGACGAUGAUUCAGGGAACAAUGGCGUCAUCCUGUUCUCCAUCCUCCGAGUAGACUUCAUCUCUAAGGACGGGGCCACCAUCCCUUUCCAGGGUGUCUUCUCGAUCUUCACCUCCUCCGAGGCCGACGUGUUCGCUGGGAGCAUUCAGCCGGUGACCAGCCUCGACUCCACUCUCCAAGGCACCUACCAAGUGACAGUCCAGGCCAGGGACAGACCUUCCUUGGGUCCUUUCCUGGAAGCCACCACCACCCUGAAUGUGAGUGCUGGUCCCACCUCCAGCCCCCAACGCCCUCUGCCAGCCCCCAGGGUCCCUGGUGCCUCAUCUCCUGCACACCCCCUUCCCAGCUCUUCACCGUGGACCAGAGUUACCGCUCGCGGCUGCAGUUCU
rnacentral:lncRNA from 10 species